GCUCGUGCUCCCCAGGGUGUUGAUAUGAAUGAAAUAUCUUUUUCGAGGGGAUAUGUUAGGCUAACACUACAGCCCUUACUGCCGAGGGGUGAGAAGAGGCCCCGCGGGUGGUGCCGGGAAGAACGGUGCAUGGUGCACGGGAGAAGUGGAUCUCGAAAUUUAGGGGGGGAAAGUGCCAGGGUGUGUGACGCAGGAGUCAUUCAAUUCCUCCGCUGAUAGGCAACUGUCGUAUCUUCACAACGCUGAUAAAAUGCAAGAAAACAACAAAUUAACUAAAAUUAAAUAUAUAUAAACUAAAUAAGAUAAACUGUAUGAAGCUAUCACGCCUACGUGGGUCAGUUUCCAAAUGCCAUUCUUAUCUAGAAAUAUUUUCUUUUAAAGCUUGUUAAUGACUACACUAACAACUUGAUUAAUGGGUGUGAGGGAAUCGCCAACCAUGUAAGCACCCCUCUAACUACUGUGGUAAAGGGAGAGGAAUGAUUGUCCUUCCUCCACCUUAAGGGCGGUGUGUCUCGGUCACGGUUUCUCUUCCUUCUCCUGAAUCCUCGAGCAGCUGACUCCUCGUGAGACAGCGUCACCGCUUCGGAGCAAAGCCUCGAGUGCCUUCAUCACCAUUCCCCUCCCUCCUUGGUAGGGAUACUCUGCAGGAGCUGAGAUAGUGAGGCCAGCAGACACAAGGAGGCACACAGCUCUCAUCACUUGCCACCAUUACGCAUUUGUUCAGCUGUUCUUUUCUAUCGCAACGCAACGCAACGCAAGAUGCAGCGUGGUGUGCCCGGGAGGAGGCGCCAACGUGGAGGAAUGUACAUAUGCAACAACCGCAGCCACACUGCAGUACUCUUGGGUUAACCCGACGUCGAGGAGUUAAGAGCAAAGGAGCAGCAUGGUUGGGCAGUGCACCACGCAGGAAAAGAGUCCACACUGAGAUCCCGUCACCACGUCAACCAGAAAUGACUACCUCACGGCAUAUAGAUGGCAGAGCACCUCGAUCGUCACACUUGACCUCAUACACUUGAUCGGAAAAAGAUAAAUAAAUAAAUAAAUACGAAGCAAUUACACCAGUGGACAAGUACUGUAAACAAAAGCAGCACGAAGCAAUGCACUGCAGUUACUCGCAGCCACGUGUUUGGCAAGCACUGACAUUGGUGGAGGCCGUACAUUGCGGUCGUAUGUUCCUUCAUUAAGUUGUAAAAAAUAUAGUCUUAGCACAACCUUCUCUGUGUGUGUGUGUGUGUGUGUGUGUGUGUGUGUGUGUGUGUUGAUUAAGCGAGUC